rnacentral:rRNA from 1 species
UACGGAGGGUGCAAGCGUUAUCCGGAUUCACUGGGUUUAAAGGGAGCGUAGGAGGGCAGGUAAGUCAGUGGUGAAAUCUUCGAGCUUAACUCGGAAACUGCCGUUGAUACUAUCUGUCUUGAAUACCGUGGAGAUGAGCGGAAUAUGUCAUGUAGCGGUGAAAUGCUUAGAUAUGACAUAGAACACCAAUUGCGAAGGCAGCUCGUUACAACGAAUAUUGACUCUGAGGCUCGAAAGCGUGGGGAUCAAACAGG